GACGAUCCUGCGGGGGAAACUUCCCUCCUAGAGGGGGAAAUCAUCGCCAUUGUCAUCACCAACACUCCUCCCAUCGGAGGGAACUCAUCACCAACACUCCUCCCAUCGGAGGGAACUCAUCACCAUCAACAUCUUCAUCAGCACCAUCUCAUCUCCAAACCCUAGUUCGUCACUUGUAACCAAUGUCCGUCUCGCGACUCCGAUUGGUACUUGUAAGGUUGCUAGCAGUGUUGAUUACUCUUUGUAGUUGAUGCUAGUUGGAUUACUUGGUGGAAGAGUUUAUGUUCAGAUUCUUG
rnacentral:lncRNA from 1 species